CGGCUCACUGCAGCCUCCGCCUCCUGGGUUCAAGCAGUUCUCCUGCCUCAGCCUCCCGAAUAGCUGGGAUUACAGGUGCAUUCCACCACACUUGAGUGAUUUUCAUAUUUUUAGUAGAGACAGGGUUUUGCCACGUUGGCCAGGCUGGUCUCGAACACCUGACCUCAAGCAGUCUGCCUCCCUGGGCCUCCCAAAGUGCUAAGAUUACAGGUGUGAGCCAUUGCGCCAGGCCUGCUUUUAGAUUAAAACCUAGAGUCCUCUUGAUUUCUUCUGUUUUGCAGGCUCCCGAUCCUUCCUGGUCUGCUGUCUGCCUCCUGCCCCGCUUGCCUUCUCACCAGCCUUUCUGUGUCUAUUUUCCCUCUUGCUCCCAGAGCUCCACCUUCUCCAACGUCCUUUCAGUGUUCCAGGCAUGCCAGGCUCUAUCCUACUGUGCUGUCUGCUGGAAACAUUCUUCACCCAGAGUGGGGAUGGCUCUGCUAACAUGCCUCCUCCUCAUAGAGGCCUACUUACAUCUUCCUUCUUCUUUGUUGCUGGGUCACUGUCAGUGCUCUAGUCCCCAGCAGCCAUAACAUAGGACAGCAUCAUUCUCUUCCCCCUUGAAUUACACACCAACUACUGAGACUGUGAUGUUUCCUUAGAGAAUGGUCACACUGUAAUGAGUAAACUGACCCUAUAUUUUGAGUGCAGUGCUUUGAGUAAUUGAUAGCCAUUCCUUUAAACUAGAGAUUGGCAAAGAGACUUGGCCCUGCCUGUUUCUGUAAAAAAAAAGUUUCUCGGCACAUACCCACUCAUUUGCAGGUCAUUUGUGGCUGCUUUUGCACUACAGUUACGGAGUUGAGUAUUGGGAUGGAGAUCACGUAUGUCCUCCAAAGCAUAAAAUAUUUACCAUCUGGUUCUUUAUGGAAAAAGGAUGCUGACUUACGUUCUCAAUUGAGAGCGUAUAGGAAGGGAUUGGUCUGUUCAUUGAGAAAACUGUUCUAAUAAUAAAAUGAUGCCAUAAAGGGCAAAAUGAUGAGCCAGCCUUCCUUUUCUCUCUCCAGCUAAUGUUCUCUAUGGGCCACUCCACACCAAGCAGGCAGUGAGCAUGUUUCUUGGAGCAGUGGAAGAAGCAAAGAAAGAAGGUGGCACAGUGGUCUAUGGGGGCAAGGUUAUGGAUCGCCCUGGAAAUUACGUAGAACCGACAAUUGUGACAGGUCUUGGCCACGAUGCGUCCAUUGCACACACAGAGACUUUUGCUCCGAUUCUCUAUGUCUUUAAAUUCAAGAAUGAAGAAGAGGUCUUUGCAUGGAAUAAUGAAGUAAAACAGGGACUUUCAAGUAGCAUCUUUACCAAAGAUCUGGGCAGAAUCUUUCGCUGGCUUGGACCUAAAGGAUCAGACUGUGGCAUUGUAAAUGUCAACAUUCCAACAAGUGGGGCUGAGAUUGGAGGUGCCUUUGGAGGAGAAAAGCACACUGGUGGUGGCAGGGAGUCUGGCAGUGAUGCCUGGAAACAGUACAUGAGAAGGUCUACUUGUACUAUCAACUACAGUAAAGACCUUCCUCUGGCCCAAGGAAUCAAGUUUCAGUAAAGGUGUUUUAGAUGAACAUCCCUUAAUUUGAGGUGUUCCGGCAGCUGUUUUUGGAGAAGACAAAGAAAAUUAAAGUUUUCCCUGAAUAAAUGCAUUAUUAUGACUGUGACAGUGACUAAUCCCCCUAUGACCCCAAAGCCCUGAUUAAAUCAAGAGACUCCUUUUUUAAAAAUCAAAAUAAAAUUGUUA
rnacentral:sRNA from 1 species